rnacentral:rRNA from 1 species
AGCAGCCGCGGUAAUUCCAGCUCCAAUAGCGUAUAUUAAAGUUGUUGCAGUUAAAAAGCUCGUAGUUGAAUUUCGGGAUCAAUAUGUUGGUCGUGCCUUGGUAUGUACUGAUUUAUUGGUUUCUUCCUUCUGACGAACCAUGAUGUCAUUAAUUUGGUGCCUUGAGGAAUCAGGACUGUUACUUUGAAAAAAUUAGAGUGUUUAAAGCAGGCUCACGCUUGAAUACAUUAGCAUGGAAUAAUGAAAUAGGACGUUUGAUUCUAUUUUGUUGGUUUCUAGGAUCGACGUAAUGAUUAAUAGGGAUAGUUGGGGGCAUUAGUAUUCAAUUGUCAGAGGUGAAAUUCUUGGAUUUAUUGAAGACUAACUACUGCGAAAGCAUUUGCCAAGGAUGUUUUCAUUAAUCAAGACGAAAGUUAGGGGAUCGAAGACGAUCAGAU